rnacentral:rRNA from 1 species
ACUCAAAGGAAUAGACGGGGGCCCGCACAAGCGGUGGAGCAUGUGGAUUAAUUCGAGGCAACGCGAAGAACCUUACCAAGGCUUGACAUGGGGCCGACGUGUCUGGAAACAGUCAUUCCCUUCGGGGCGGCCCACACAGGUGGUGCAUGGUUGUCGUCAGCUCGUGUCGUGAGAUGUUGGGUUAAGUCCCGCAACGAGCGCAACCCUUAUGCUUAGUAGCCAUCGGGUAGAGCCGGGCACACUAGGGAUACUGCCGUGGAUAACACGGAGGAAGGCGGGGACGAGGUCAAAUCAUCAUGCCCCUUAUGUCUUGGGCUUCACACGUGCUACAAUGGGUCGGACAAAGUGACGCAAGGCAGCGAUGCGGAGCAAAACACAAAACCGGCCCCCAGUUCGGAUUGCAGGCUGCAACCCGCCUGCAUGAAGUUGGAAUCGCUAGUAAUCGCGAAUCACUACGUCGCGGUGAAUACGUUCCCGGGCCUUGUACACACCGCCCGU